rnacentral:rRNA from 1 species
UGGCGCACGGGUGAGUAACACGUGACUAGCCUACCCUCGAGUGGGGAAUAACCUAGAGAAAUCUGGGCUAAUACCGCAUAACACUUACGAGUCAAAGCAGCAAUGCGCUUGAGGAGGGGGUCGCGGCAGAUUAGCUAGUUGGCGGGGUAAUGGCCCACCAAGGCAAUGAUCUGUAUCCGGCCUGAGAGGGCGCACGGACACACUGGAACUGAAACACGGUCCAG